rnacentral:rRNA from 1 species
GACGAACGCUGGCGGCGUGCCUAAUACAUGCAAGUAGGACGCAGUUGCGAACGGGUGAGUAACGCGUAGGUAACUACCUAUUAGAGGGGGAUAACACUUGGAAACGAUAGCUAAUACCGCAUACUAGUAGAUGGACCUGCGUUGUAUUAACUAGUAGGUAGGGUAAUGGCCUACCUAGGCAACGAUACAUAGCCGACCUGGAGGGGUGAACCGCCACAACGGGAAUGAGAAACCGCCCCGGCUCCCACGGGAGGCAGCAGUAUGGAAUCUUCGGCAAUGGGGGGAACCCUGACCGAGCAACGCCGCGGGAGUGAAGAAGGUUUUCGGAUCGUAAAGCUCUGUUGUUAAGGAAGCGGUACUUAACCAGAAAGGGACGGCUAACUACGUGCCAGCAGCCGCGGUAAUUC